GGAGCAACUGUCCCCAAAUCAACUCAGCAUAGCAUCCUUCUGAGGCUACUGCUGGCGUCUCUCUUGAGCUGCUGCUUGGACCGUGAGCCCCUCUGGGACAGGGAACUCUCUUCUCAUUCCUUUUGCAAUGUUAACUCUUUUUAGUUAAAAACGGCAUCUCAACCUUUGUACUAAUUGUGGAUCGUGAGUGUGACUGGAAAGAGUGACGAGAUCACAUGGUCCCUCCUCCCUGCAUGAGAGGGAGGAGUCUGGUCUUGUUCAGACACACCUCUGCAUGUCAUUCAGACCCGGGAACUGUGGGUUAAGUGCUUACACAUCUGGAUGUAUCUGAUUUUUCUUUAUGUCAAGAGAAAAAGAGAUACCAAAGCAGGACUGUGAAAGAUUUGGGGGCACAAGAGGAGAGCUGGUCUUGUGGAGGCAAGCAUGACUUGUCCCCAUAGCUAAGCAGGGUCUGCCCUGGUUGCAUCUGAAUGAGAGACUAGAAGGGUGAGCACUGCAAGAUAUUCCCCUCAGGGGAUGAAGCUGCUCUGGGAAGAGCAGAAGGUUUCACGUUCCCUCCCUGGCUUCUCCAAGAGAGGGCUGAGAGAGCUUCCUGCCUGCAACCUUGCAGAAGCCACUGCCAGUCUGUGAAGACAUUACUGAGCUAGAUAGAACAAUGGUCUGACUCAGUAUAUGGCAGUUCCUAUGUCUUUUCCUCUGUCUACCUGGAAGAAGGUCAAGCUGCACAAAGAGAAUGCAGGAUCCUGCAAGGAAACAGCUGACUGUGAUGAGGGCAUAAUCAAGAUGAAAGGUCUGGAUUCUUGAACCAAUGUCCAGGCGACCUGCAUGGAGGACUCCUGGAGGGGGUGCACUUUAUGAAGACUGUGGAAAAUGUGCUGGGCAAGAGCAUUGGUUGAUGCAGCAGAAGGGGGGGUAACCCUGGGAGAAAGUGGCUGUGCCAUCUUAGAAUCCACAAAAUCAAGGGGAGGAGACAUUUCAAGGAAACCAGACGUGCACCUUGGAUUUCAGGCAAGCUGACUUGAAUAAACUCAGAGGAGCACCAGAUAGGAUUCCAAAACUAGACGUCUUAAAGGGGAACCUUGGCAUAGACUCUGAGGGCUUUGCCGAUGAGGAGAAACCUGAUGCAAUCCCCAAAAGGGCUUUGGAUAAGACACCCUUGGGUCACAUCAUGGAGGAACCCAAGCCAUCAACCUUCGGGGAUCUCCCCACAUCUCUGCUCCCUCUGAGAGACCUGUCCCCCCACAGAAGGAUUCACUUGGGGGGCAAGGACAACAUAUGGCCAGCAGAGAGGCACCACCAUCCCUGUCAGAUCCCCAAGAGUGACAAUGCUACUGGGCCCAGGCCGAUCUGCAGUAAUGGAAAAGAAGCACCCAACUGGGAGCAUAGCAUCUCCCUCAGGAGAGACCGACUGGCCUGAUCUCCACUUGGCCUAGCAGCCUUCCCUGAGUUGGGCCUGUGCCAAAGUAAAAGUGCCCAGGAGAAGGAGUGGGAAUCGGAAAAGAAUGAAGGCAAAGCAAGCAAUGGAGGAUCCUGAUAGCUGUGUCUCCUGAUCCAUACUACAGUCCUGUAAGUGUUGAAGAACCUCUUGAAUUUGUCUUCCCAGAAGAUGGAGAGGUAAGUCUGACUCCUACCACCUCCAGAGGCCAGACUGUCAGAGAGCUACACAGGAAAAGACAGCAGUCCACAGAUAUCAAAGCAAAGAAGAGCUUCCCUUUCAACAUCUAACAAAGGAUCCCGUCCUGCUUCUGAUGCACUGUUAUCAACGCGAGUGCUGAGGGUUGCCUCGGCCGGGUAAAUAUGCAUUGACACAAUGACAAAUCUCUCCGGUGGCUGAGGGGAAUGGUGGGCCCUAGAGAAGGCAGGAAGAGGCUGAGGAGAGCAACCCCACAGCAGAUGCCCAUUUCCUUUCUGGCUAGGUUUGCAAAAGCCUCGUGUACACUCAAGGUCAUAAGGCUUUGGCAAAGAGGGGGCAUAGUUUCCCGGGAAACGACUUCACCCCAGAAGUGGAAUCCCACACCUUAGUUUACAGAGCUCCCUUCAAACUAGUUACUGAAGUUGCAGCCCAGGUUUGCACCCGUUCCAUCUCUUGAUUCCGAGUCUGGGUGCCCGACCUCCCCUCCUUCCCCUGGCUCUGCAUCCAGUGUGGGGUGCAAAUGUCACAUUCAGUCCUGGCAGGGUGCAAGAAACAAGGCUGGGCCCCACAGUGAACCAGUCUGUAGGGCCAAGCGAGGGGGCAGAGGGUGCGCUAGUGAAAGCGAUCCCCGCACUCUCUUGGCCUUCUGCAGGGACACCUCGGCAUCCACUCACCCCCCUCAGGUGACAGUGUGGGAUUAGCCGGUCGCCAUUUGGGGCCGAGUAGGAAUUUUCCCCAUCCACCCGGAUUGGCUUGGAGGUGGCUGGUUUUUUGCCUACUCUGCACUGUUGCACUGGAAGGGAUUUCUGAUCUGGCGGAUGUUAGGAGUGGUGCCGCUAAAUAGUGUAGCCCCUUGGUCACCAUGGCAGGUCCGGGGGGGGGGGAUGCAGUGCCCCACCCCAUUGGUGGCAGGUGCGAUUUCCCCCAGCUGCACGGCAGUUCUCUGCUAAAAUGAGUCAAUAAAGUGAUGGCCGUAGUUUCAACCCA